rnacentral:rRNA from 1 species
UCCUGACUGACCGAUAGUGAACCAGUACCGUGAGGGAAAGGCGAAAAGAACCCCGGCGAGGGGAGUGAAAAAGAACCUGAAACCGUGUACGUACAAGCAGUGGGAGCACGCUUAGGCGUGUGACUGCGUACCUUUUGUAUAAUGGGUCAGCGACUUAUAUUCUGUAGCAAGGUUAACCGAAUAGGGGAGCCGAAGGGAAACCGAGUCUUAACUGGGCGUUAAGUUGCAGGGUAUAGACCCGAAACCCGGUGAUCUAGCCAUGGGCAGGUUGAAGGUUGGGUAACACUAACUGGAGGACCGAACCGACUAAUGUUGAAAAAUUAGCGGAUGACUUGUGGCUGGGGGUGAAAGGCCAAUCAAACCGGGAGAUAGCUGGUUCUCCCCGAAAGCUAUUUAGGUAGCGCCUCGUGAAUUCAUCUCCGGGGGUAGAGCACUGUUUCGGCAAGGGGGUCAUCCCGACUUACCAACCCGAU